rnacentral:rRNA from 1 species
GACGAACGCUGGCGGCGUGCCUAAUACAUGCAAGUAGGACGCAGUUGCGAACGGGUGAGUAACGCGUAGGUAACUACCUAUUAGAGGGGGAUAACUAUUGGAAACGAUAGCUAAUACCGCAUACUAGUAGAUGGACCUACGUUGUAUUAGCUAGUAGGUAGAGUAAUGGCCUACCUAGGCAACGAUACAUAACCGACCUGAGAUGGUGAUCGGCGAAACUGGGACUGCGACACGGCACAGACUCUUACGGGAGGCAGCAGUAGGGAAUCAUCGCCAAUGGGGGGAACCCUGACCAAGCAACGCCGAGUGUGUGGAGAAGGUUUUCGGAUCGUAAAACUAUGUUGUUAAGGAAGCGGUACUUAACCAGAAAGGGACGGCUAACUACGUGCCAGCAGCCGCGGUAAUUG